UUAAGCGACUAAGCGUACACGGUGGAUGCCCUGGCAGUCAGAGGCGAUGAAGGACGUGCUAAUCUGCGAAAAGCGUCGGUAAGGUGAUAUGAACCGUUAUAGCCGGCGAUGUCCGAAUGGGGAAACCCAGUGCAAUUCGUUGCACUAUCGUUAACUGAAUACAUAGGUUAACGAGGCGAACCGGGGGAACUGAAACAUCUAAGUACCCCGAGGAAAAGAAAUCAACCGAGAUUCCCCCAGUAGCGGCGAGCGAACGGGGAGCAGCCCAGAGUCUGAAUCAGCUUGUGUGUUAGUGGAACGGUCUGGAAAGUCCGACGGUACAGGGUGAUAGUCCCGUACACCAAAAUGCACAGGCUGUGAACUCGAAGAGUAGGGCGGGACACGUGGUAUCCUGUCUGAAUAUGGGGGGACCAUCCUCCAAGGCUAAAUACUCCUGACUGACCGAUAGUGAACCAGUACCGUGAGGGAAAGGCGAAAAGAACCCCGGCGAGGGGAGUGAAAAAGAACCUGAAACCGUGUACGUACAAGCAGUGGGAGCACCUUCGGGUGUGACUGCGUACCUUUUGUAUAAUGGGUCAGCGACUUAUAUUCUGUAGCAAGGUUAACCGUAUAGGGGAGCCGCAGGGAAACCGAGUCUUAACUGGGCGUUAAGUUGCAGGGUAUAGACCCGAAACCCGGUGAUCUAGCCAUGGGCAGGUUGAAGGUUGGGUAACACUAACUGGAGGACCGAACCGACUAAUGUUGAAAAAUUAGCGGAUGACUUGUGGCUGGGGGUGAAAGGCCAAUCAAACCGGGAGAUAGCUGGUUCUCCCCGAAAGCUAUUUAGGUAGCGCCUCGUGAAUUCAUCUUCGGGGGUAGAGCACUGUUUCGGCUAGGGGGUCAUCCCGACUUACCAACCCGAUGCAAACUACGAAUACCGAAGAAUGUUAUCACGGGAGACACACGGCGGGUGCUAACGUCCGUCGUGAAGAGGGAAACAACCCAGACCGCCAGCUAAGGUCCCAAAGUCAUGGUUAAGUGGGAAACGAUGUGGGAAGGCACAGACAGCCAGGAUGUUGGCUUAGAAGCAGCCAUCAUUUAAAGAAAGCGUAAUAGCUCACUGGUCGAGUCGGCCUGCGCGGAAGAUGUAACGGGGCUAAACCAUGCACCGAAGCUGCGGCAGCGACACUAUGUGUUGUUGGGUAGGGGAGCGUUCUGUAAGCCUGCGAAGGUGACCUGUGAGGGUUGCUGGAGGUAUCAGAAGUGCGAAUGCUGACAUAAGUAACGAUAAAGCGGGUGAAAAGCCCGCUCGCCGGAAGACCAAGGGUUCCUGUCCAACGUUAAUCGGGGCAGGGUGAGUCGACCCCUAAGGCGAGGCCGAAAGGCGUAGUCGAUGGGAAACAGGUUAAUAUUCCUGUACUUGGUGUUACUGCGAAGGGGGGACGGAGAAGGCUAUGUUAGCCGGGCGACGGUUGUCCCGGUUUAAGCAUGUAGGCUGGUUGUCCAGGCAAAUCCGGAUAAUCAAGGCUGAGGUGUGAUGACGAGGCACUACGGUGCUGAAGUAACAAAUGCCCUGCUUCCAGGAAAAGCCUCUAAGCAUCAGGUAACAUUAAAUCGUACCCCAAACCGACACAGGUGGUCAGGUAGAGAAUACCAAGGCGCUUGAGAGAACUCGGGUGAAGGAACUAGGCAAAAUGGUGCCGUAACUUCGGGAGAAGGCACGCUGGUGUGUAGGUGAAGUCCCUGCGGAUGGAGCUGAGACCAGUCGAAGAUACCAGCUGGCUGCAACUGUUUAUUAAAAACACAGCACUGUGCAAACACGAAAGUGGACGUAUACGGUGUGACGCCUGCCCGGUGCCGGAAGGUUAAUUGAUGGGGUUAUCCGUAAGGAGAAGCUCUUGAUCGAAGCCCCGGUAAACGGCGGCCGUAACUAUAACGGUCCUAAGGUAGCGAAAUUCCUUGUCGGGUAAGUUCCGACCUGCACGAAUGGCGUAAUGAUGGCCAGGCUGUCUCCACCCGAGACUCAGUGAAAUUGAACUCGCUGUGAAGAUGCAGUGUACCCGCGGCAAGACGGAAAGACCCCGUGAACCUUUACUAUAGCUUGACACUGAACAUUGAGCCUUGAUGUGUAGGAUAGGUGGGAGGCUUUGAAGCGUGGACGCCAGUCUGCGUGGAGCCAACCUUGAAAUACCACCCUUUAAUGUUUGAUGUUCUAACGUUGGCCCCUGACCGGGGUUGCGGACAGUGUCUGGUGGGUAGUUUGACUGGGGCGGUCUCCUCCCAAAGCGUAACGGAGGAGCACGAAGGUUAGCUAAUCCUGGUCGGACAUCAGGAGGUUAGUGCAAUGGCAUAAGCUAGCUUGACUGCGAGCGUGACGGCGCGAGCAGGUGCGAAAGCAGGUCAUAGUGAUCCGGUGGUUCUGAAUGGAAGGGCCAUCGCUCAACGGAUAAAAGGUACUCCGGGGAUAACAGGCUGAUA
rnacentral:rRNA from 1 species